CCAUCAUUUAAAGAAAGCGUAAUAGCUCACUGGUCGAGUCGGCCUGCGCGGAAGAUGUAACGGGGCUAAACCAUGCACCGAAGCUGCGGCAGCGACGCUGAUGCGUUGUUGGGUAGGGGAGCGUUCUGUAAGCCUGUGAAGGUGGCCUGUGAGGGUUGCUGGAGGUAUCAGAAGUGCGAAUGCUGACAUAAGUAACGAUAAAGCGGGUGAAAAGCCCGCUCGCCGGAAGACCAAGGGUUCCUGUCCAACGUUAAUCGGGGCAGGGUGAGUCGACCCCUAAGGCGAGGCCGAAAGGCGUAGUCGAUGGGAAACGGGUUAAUAUUCCCGUACUUGGUGUUACUGCGAAGGGGGGACGGAGAAGGCUAUGUUGGCCGGGCGACGGUUGUCCCGGUUUAAGCGUGUAGGUGUGUGUUCCAGGUAAAUCCGGUUCACUUUAACACUGAGGCGUGAUGACGAGGCACUACGGUGCUGAAGCAACAAAUGCCCUGCUUCCAGGAAAAGCCUCUAAGCAUCAGGUAACAUCAAAUCGUACCCCAAACCGACACAGGUGGUCAGGUAGAGAAUACCAAGGCGCUUGAGAGAACUCGGGUGAAGGAACUAGGCAAAAUGGUGCCGUAACUUCGGGAGAAGGCACGCUGACACGUAGGUGAAGUGAUUUACUCAUGGAGCUGAAGUCAGUCGAAGAUACCAGCUGGCUGCAACUGUUUAUUAAAAACACAGCACUGUGCAAACACGAAAGUGGACGUAUACGGUGUGACGCCUGCCCGGUGCCGGAAGGUUAAUUGAUGGGGUCAGCGCAAGCGAAGCUCCUGAUCGAAGCCCCGGUAAACGGCGGCCGUAACUAUAACGGUCCUAAGGUAGCGAAAUUCCUUGUCGGGUAAGUUCCGACCUGCACGAAUGGCGUAAUGAUGGCCAGGCUGUCUCCACCCGAGACUCAGUGAAAUUGAACUCGCUGUGAAGAUGCAGUGUACCCGCGGCAAGACGGAAAGACCCCGUGAACCUUUACUAUAGCUUGACACUGAACAUUGAGCCUUGAUGUGUAGGAUAGGUGGGAGGCUUUGAAGUGUGGACGCCAGUCUGCAUGGAGCCGGCCUUGAAAUACCACCCUUUAAUGUUUGAUGUUCUAACGUGGACCCGU
rnacentral:rRNA from 1 species